rnacentral:rRNA from 1 species
UACAGAGGGUGCAAACGUUGCUCGGAAUCAUUGGGCGUAAAGCGCACGUAGGCGGUUUGUUAUGUCGGAUGUGAAAGCCCUUGGCUCAACUGAGGAAGUGCAUCCGAAACUGGCAAGCUAGAGUACUAAAGAGGGUCGCGGAAUUCCCGGUGUAGAGGUGAAAUUCGUAGAUAUCGGGAGGAACACCGGUGGCGAAGGCGGCGACCUGGGUAGAUACUGACGCUGAGACGCGAAAGCGUGGGGAGCAAACAGG